rnacentral:rRNA from 1 species
UUCGGGGAACGAUAACGGCGUCGAGCGGCGGACGGGUGAGUAAUGCCUAGGAAAUUGCCCUGAUGUGGGGGAUAACCAUUGGAAACGAUGGCUAAUACCGCAUAAUGCCUACGGGCCAAAGAGGGGGACCUUCGGGCCUCUCGCGUCAGGAUAUGCCUAGGUGGGAUUAGCUAGUUGGUGAGGUAAUGGCUCACCAAGGCGACGAUCCCUAGCUGGUCUGAGAGGAUGAUCAGCCACACUGGAACUGAGACACGGUCCAGACUCCUACGGGAGGCAGCAGUGGGGAAUAUUGCACAAUGGGCGCAAGCCUGAUGCAGCCAUGCCGCGUGUGUGAAGAAGGCCUUCGGGUUGUAAAGCACUUUCAGUCGUGAGGAAGGUAGUGUAGUUAAUAGCUGCAUUAUUUGACGUUAGCGACAGAAGAAGCACCGGCUAACUCCGUGCCAGCAGCCGCGGUAAUACGGAGGGUGCGAGCGUUAAUCGGAAUUACUGGGCGUAAAGCG